GACGAACGCUGGCGGCGUGCUUAACACAUGCAAGUCGAACGGAAAGGCCCUGCUUUUGUGGGGUGCUCGAGUGGCGAACGGGUGAGUAACACGUGAGUAACCUGCCCUUGACUUUGGGAUAACUUCAGGAAACUGGGGCUAAUACCGGAUAGGAGCUCCUGCUGCAUGGUGGGGGUUGGAAAGUUUCGGCGGUUGGGGAUGGACUCGCGGCUUAUCAGCUUGUUGGUGGGGUAGUGGCUUACCAAGGCUUUGACGGGUAGCCGGCCUGAGAGGGUGACCGGCCACAUUGGGACUGAGAUACGGCCCAGACUCCUACGGGAGGCAGCCGUGGGGAAUCUUGCACAAUGGGCGGACGCCUGAUGCAGCAACGCCGCGUGCGGGAUGACGGCCUUCGGGUUGUAAACCGCUUUCGCCUGUGACGAAGCGUGAGUGACGGUAAUGGGUAAAGAAGCACCGGCUAACUACGUG
rnacentral:rRNA from 1 species